CCUACGUUGAGCUGCAGUGGGGAAUAUUGGACAAUGGGCGAAAGCCUGAUCCAGCCAUGCCGCGUGUGUGAAGAAGGCCUUCGGGUUGUAAAGCACUUUCAGUGGGGAAGAAAGCCUUGGGGCUAAUACCCUCGAGGAAGGACAUCACCCACAGAAGAAGCACCGGCUAACUCCGUGCCAGCAGCCGCGGUAAUACGGAGGGUGCGAGCGUUAAUCGGAAUUACUGGGCGUAAAGCGCGCGUAGGCGGUCUGAUAAGCCGGUUGUGAAAGCCCCGGGCUCAACCUGGGAACGGCAUCCGGAACUGUCAGGCUAGAGUGCAGGAGAGGAAGGUAGAAUUCCCGGUGUAGCGGUGAAAUGCGUAGAGAUCGGGAGGAAUACCAGUGGCGAAGGCGGCCUUCUGGACUGACACUGACGCUGAGGUGCGAAAGCGUGGGUAGCAAACAGGAUUAGAUACCCGAGUAGUC
rnacentral:rRNA from 1 species